rnacentral:rRNA from 1 species
UACGGAGGGUGCAAACGUUGCUCGGAAUCAUUGGGCGUAAAGCGCACGUAGGCGGCGGUAUAAGCGGAAUGUGAAAGCCUGGGGCUCAACCUCAGAAGUGCAUCCCGAACUGUAUCGCUUGAAUCUCGGAGGGGGACAGAGAAUUCCCGGUGUAGAGGUGAAAUUCGUAGAUAUCGGGAGGAAUACCAGUGGCGAAGGCGCUGUCCUGGACGAAGAUUGACGCUGAGGUGCGAAAGCGUGGGGAGCAAACAGG